GACGAACGCUGGCGGCGUGCCUAACACAUGCAAGUCAACUUGACUGAAGGAGCAAUCUGACAGUAGAGUGGCGCAAGGGUGCGUAACGCGUAAGUAACUUGCCCAAGGUAAGGAAUAACGUCGAGAAAUCGGCGCUAAUACCUCAUAAUGCAGCGGAUCCGCAUGGAUAUGUUGUUAAAGGUUUACCGCCUUGGGAUAGGCUUGCGUCUGAUUAGUUAGUUGGUGUGGUAACGGCACACCAAGGCUACGAUCAGUAACUGGUCUGAGAGGAUGAUCAGUCACACUGGAACUGAGACACGGUCCAGACUCCUACGGGAGGCAGCAGUGAGGAAUAUUGGGCAAUGCUCGAAAGAGUGACCCAGCAACGCCGCGUGGAGGAUGAAGGUAUUCUAUAUCGUAAACUCCUGUGAGAGCAGACGAAAGACAGAUUAUUAAUCUGGAUGACUGUAUGCUCAGAGGAAGCCCCGG
rnacentral:rRNA from 1 species